UUAAGUUAUUAAGGGCGCACGGUGGAUGCCUUGGCACUAGAAGCCGAUGAAGGACGUUACUAACGACGAUAUGCUUUGGGGAGCUGUAAGUAAGCUUUGAUCCAGAGAUUUCCGAAUGGGGAAACCCAGCAUGAGUUAUGUCAUGUUAUCGAUAUGUGAAUACAUAGCAUAUCAGAAGGCACACCCGGAGAACUGAAACAUCUUAGUACCCGGAGGAAGAGAAAGAAAAUUCGAUUCCCUUAGUAGCGGCGAGCGAAACGGGAAGAGCCCAAACCAACAAGCUUGCUUGUUGGGGUUGUAGGACACUCUAUACGGAGUUACAAAGGACGACAUUAGACGAAUCAUCUGGAAAGAUGAAUCAAAGAAGGUAAUAAUCCUGUAGUCGAAAAUGUUGUCUCUCUUGAGUGGAUCCUGAGUACGACGGAGCACGUGAAAUUCCGUUGGAAUCUGGGAGGACCAUCUCCUAAGGCUAAAUACUCUCUAGUGACCGAUAGUGAACCAGUACCGUGAGGGAAAGGUGAAAAGCACCCCGGAAGGGGAGUGAAAUAGAACCUGAAACCGUGUGCUUACAAGUAGUCAGAGCCCGUUAAUGGGUGAUGGCGUGCCUUUUGUAGAAUGAACCGGCGAGUUACGAUUUGAUGCAAGGUUAAGCAGUAAAUGUGGAGCCGUAGCGAAAGCGAGUCUGAAUAGGGCGUUUAGUAUUUGGUCGUAGACCCGAAACCAGGUGAUCUACCCUUGGUCAGGUUGAAGUUCAGGUAACACUGAAUGGAGGACCGAACCGACUUACGUUGAAAAGUGAGCGGAUGAACUGAGGGUAGCGGAGAAAUUCCAAUCGAACCUGGAGAUAGCUGGUUCUCUCCGAAAUAGCUUUAGGGCUAGCCUCAAGUGAUGAUUAUUGGAGGUAGAGCACUGUUUGGACGAGGGGCCCCUCUCGGGUUACCGAAUUCAGACAAACUCCGAAUGCCAAUUAAUUUAACUUGGGAGUCAGAACAUGGGUGAUAAGGUCCGUGUUCGAAAGGGAAACAGCCCAGACCACCAGCUAAGGUCCCAAAAUAUAUGUUAAGUGGAAAAGGAUGUGGCGUUGCCCAGACAACUAGGAUGUUGGCUUAGAAGCAGCCAUCAUUUAAAGAGUGCGUAAUAGCUCACUAGUCGAGUGACACUGCGCCGAAAAUGUACCGGGGCUAAACAUAUUACCGAAGCUGUGGAUUGUCCUUUGGACAAUGGUAGGAGAGCGUUCUAAGGGCGUUGAAGCAUGAUCGUAAGGACAUGUGGAGCGCUUAGAAGUGAGAAUGCCGGUGUGAGUAGCGAAAGACGGGUGAGAAUCCCGUCCACCGAUUGACUAAGGUUUCCAGAGGAAGGCUCGUCCGCUCUGGGUUAGUCGGGUCCUAAGCUGAGGCCGACAGGCGUAGGCGAUGGAUAACAGGUUGAUAUUCCUGUACCACCUAUAAUCGUUUUAAUCGAUGGGGGGACGCAGUAGGAUAGGCGAAGCGUGCGAUUGGAUUGCACGUCUAAGCAGUAAGGCUGAGUAUUAGGGAAAUCCGGUACUCAUUAAGGCUGAGCUGUGAUGGGGAGAAGACAUUGUGUCUUCGAGUCGUUGAUUUCACACUGCCGAGAAAAGCCUCUAGAUAGAAAAUAGGUGCCCGUACCGCAAACCGACACAGGUAGUCAAGAUGAGAAUUCUAAGGUGAGCGAGCGAACUCUCGUUAAGGAACUCGGCAAAAUGACCCCGUAACUUCGGGAGAAGGGGUGCUCUUUAGGGUUAACGCCCAGAAGAGCCGCAGUGAAUAGGCCCAAGCGACUGUUUAUCAAAAACACAGGUCUCUGCUAAACCGUAAGGUGAUGUAUAGGGGCUGACGCCUGCCCGGUGCUGGAAGGUUAAGAGGAGUGGUUAGCUUCUGCGAAGCUACGAAUCGAAGCCCCAGUAAACGGCGGCCGUAACUAUAACGGUCCUAAGGUAGCGAAAUUCCUUGUCGGGUAAGUUCCGACCCGCACGAAAGGCGUAACGAUUUGGGCACUGUCUCAACGAGAGACUCGGUGAAAUCAUAGUACCUGUGAAGAUGCAGGUUACCCGCGACAGGACGGAAAGACCCCGUGGAGCUUUACUGUAGCCUGA
rnacentral:rRNA from 1 species